ensembl:lncRNA
CUAAACUUAGAGUUUAAUAUAAUAUCUUUUAUUAUCCAGGCAAUUUUCUUCACAUAUUUACAUAUCCCUGUGUGACCUCUUUUUGGCUAUGAGAUUUAUGUUGAUGUCAUCAGAAAGUGUAAUUCUGCUGGAUAUAUUUAUGGGUUCAUGAUGCAUACAUGUGUCAAGAGUCGGGUAAUUAUGACAUUAGACAUUGAGACAGUCCAUGGUUUGGGAAAGAGAGGUGUUUAUUUAAAGCAAGGAGGUCCAUGAUAGCAUUUUUUCCACUUCUUAUUUGAAAUCAUUGUUCGAAAUGUAAAACACUUCUGCAAAACUGAAGGCACAGAGUCAGGACGUUUUUUCUAGAGCUUCUUAUUAAAGGCCAUUUGCUGAGCAGCUCUUAAUGACAAUUGCAGUCCCUUAGGGCAAUGCGGGCAAGCUCAUUGAGAUAUCUUUGGCUAGUAGGAUUUUGCUUCACCCUCACAGGGCUGGACACAGGUUGUGACAGAGAUUCCGCUCAGGUUUGGAGUAGGGUGGCAGCUGUUGAGCAGCCAACAGGUUGGCACGUAGGAAUUGGGCACGCAGGAGUCAGGCACACAGCAGGGUGGGUGGCAGUUGAGCAGCCAGCAAGUUGGCACAUAGGUGUCAGGCACACAGCAGGGUGGGGGGCAGUUGUCACAGCAAGUGGGCUGGAGGAGGCUGAUCUCGUGUGGGCAGGUGCUGGGCAGGCAGACUCCACACCGACAGAAUUUGUCAGAGGAGCAGAUGGUGGUGGCAGGACCAGUGGGGACGCUGCAGCAGUAGGGAGCACAGCAAGCCAUGGUGUCAGGAGCUGGGUUUUUGUUGGGUUGAUGAGAGAAGUCUCUUGGUGUCUCGAUGCUUCUGUCUUCUCCACUGGCUCUUAUAUACCCACCUCCCAGGGCGUCAGCCUAUUACAGAGAUUUUUCCCCCAUGUUUCAGUUUAUAGUUAUCUCCAUAAAAGCAUCUAAUUACUUAAGUGUUUAUUACUUAAGGCAUACUUCUCAUCUCAUAAAAGGGGUUUAGAUUGUUUUGUUGUCAAAUCAGGACUCUUAACAUUGGCUGUUUGUCACUGCAUGGACAUUUCAUUUCAGUCUUCAAAGGUACUGAGUUAUUAUCUUCUAAUCAUUAUACAUCACUAAUAAUGACUUGCCAUGCUAGGUAUCUGCAGAUUGUUUUCACAUUUUCUUGUCUACUUUUCAGAUGGAGAGAGAGCUAAGCUUUUCAAUUGCUGUUCUACCAGAAACCAAAGAUUCUUUAUGAUGAUUAAGCCCUCUGGCUGAAAAAGUGAUACUAUUUUAAGAUUUCACGUGGCUCCAAGAGACUGCGUGAACAGAUGGAAUCAACAGGGAAAGAGAUUCUGGUUCUGUGUUAAUGAGCACUUUUUUUUUUUAACAGAGCUGUAACAAAUUAUUUGCUCUCCAUUCCCUUCAUUUGUGCUUUGAAUGAAAACUUGUCAGGGGUGUGUAGGUGAGAGUUCAGAUCUCCACGGGCGACAGUGAUGGAGGCCCUUUAAAAUUCUAUCCAAACAUGUUAUGAAUUAAUAUUAUUUAUGGGGAUUUCUUUGGAAGGAAUGAUGCUAAAGCUGAAACUCCAGUACUUUGGCCACCUCAUGCGAAGAGUUGACUCAUUGGAAAAGACUCUGAUGCUGGGAGGGAUUGGGGGCAGGAGGAGAAGGGGACGACAGAGGAUGAGAUGGCUGGAUGGCAUCACUGACUCGAUGGACGUGAGUCUCAGUGAACUCCGGGGGUUGGUGAUGGACAGGGAGGCCUGGCGUGCUGCGAUUCAUGGGGUCGCAAAGAGUCGGACACAACUGAGCGACUGAUCUGAUCUG